CGCCGCAACUCGACUGAUCAGGGUUCGCGCCAAGUAUUAUUUAUAUAGCGUUCAAACGCCGCGCACACGGCACACACAGCCCCCGUUGCCAUUUCAUUUACUGGUCAUUCACGGCGUGAUUGGGACGAGCGACGAUCCUGCACAAGUAAACACAUACAUAUAUGUACCUUUGACAGAAGACUACGAGACGUCCAGCGAUUGCCGCCAAUUUUCCCCGAUCGGUAACGCAAAAUUCUUCGUGGAUCCUCGAUGCUCUCUCACGUCAAAUAUCUUCCUCUCUUCCUGCAGUGUUUCAUUUAUAACGGAUAGCAACGGCUACUGAAAUACAAUGUGCAUCUCGGGUCAUAUAGGAGGAGGAGUUUCUUUCGCUUCGUUAUUUUGAUGUUGAAACGUAACGUAGGUUCGAACGAAAUGCAGAUUUCCUCAAUUGAUGAAACUGAUGAACAAUUUGUCGCGUCCAAUAGAAACGCAAUCAAAUUUAAUGUCGUAAAUAUUGAUGACAUUAUUGAAUAAACUGGACAUCCAAUGCUUUUCGCGUCCUGUGUGAAAGUUAGAGGAAUCACCUGAUUCACGUACCAUUUUCGUGUCGCAUCCUACCUUAUCGAUUUAAGCAGGUUUUGCAUCGCAGCGCCUAGUAACUAGUAAUAGGAAUUAAAAUCAAAAAAUGUUACAUCAGCAACAAAAAUUAUUUAUUGAAUUAAACGUGAACCUUUCUUAUUUGCAUAGCCAUUUUUCUUAAUUCCUGACAAAAAUAUAAUUAUUUUCCAUAUAAAAUGGCAUUGUGUAUCGCAGCUAUAAAUUAGUAUAUGUCAAUAGAGUUAUAAGUUAGUUUUCGUCUUUCAUUCUUUUCUUUCUACUCUUUCCAUCACCGUCGUAUGUUUCAUUUCCCACUCCUUAAAUUU